AUUGAACGCUGGCGGCAUGCCUUACACAUGCAAGUCGAACGGCAGCACGGGUGCUUGCACCUGGUGGCGAGUGGCGAACGGGUGAGUAAUACAUCGGAACGUACCUUAUCGUGGGGGAUAACGCAGCGAAAGCUGUGCUAAUACCGCAUACGCCCUGAGGGGGAAAGCGGGGGAUCGCAAGACCUCGCGCGAUUAGAGCGGCCGAUGCCUGAUUAGCUUGUUGGUGGGGUAAAAGCCCACCAAGGCGACGAUCAGUAGCUGGUCUGAGAGGACGAUCAGCCACACUGGGACUGAGACACGGGCCAGACUCCUACGGGAAGCAGCAGGGGGGAAUUUUGGACAAUGGGGGCAACCCUGAUCCAGCAAUGCCGCGGGAGUGAAGAAGGCCUUCGGGUUGUAAAGCUCUUUUGUCAGGGAAGAAACACCGGCUCUAACACAGUCCGGGAAUGACGGUACCUGAAGAAUAAGCACCGGCUAACUACGUGCCAGCCGCCGCCGUAA
rnacentral:rRNA from 1 species